rnacentral:rRNA from 1 species
AUGGGUUUUGGUCUAAAUGGCGUGACAGCAUCUUGUCAUGUCCGCCCAAGGAUGGGACUGCGGCCGAUCAGGCUGUUGGUGGGGUAAAGGCCCACCAAACCAGUAACCGGUACGGGCUUUGAGAGAAGGAGCCCGGAGAUGGACACUGAGACAAGGGUCCAGGUCCUACGGGGCGCAGCAGGCGCGAAACCUUCGCAAUGCGCGCAAGCGCGACGAGGUUAUUCCGAGUGAUUUCCGCUGAGGAAAUCUUUUCUUAGAUCUAAAAAGUCUGGGGAAUAAGGGGAGGGCAAGUCUGGUGUCAGCCGCCGCGGUAAUACCAGCUCCUCGAGUGGUCAGGGCGUUUAUUGGGCCUAAAGCAUCCGUAGCCUGCUUGGUAGGUCUCCUGUUAAAUCCAACGGCUCAACCGUUGGUCUGCAGGAGAUACCGCUAGGCUAGGAGGCGGGAGAGGCGGACGGUACUCCGAGGGUAGGGGUAAAAUCCUUUGAUCCCCGGAAGACCACCAGUGGCGAAGGCGGUCCGCCAGAACGCGCUCGACGGUGAGGGAUGAAAGCUGGGGGAGCGAACCGGAUUAGAUACCCGGGUAGUCCCAGCUGUAAACGAUGCGAGCUAGGUGACACGACGCCUUCGGGGCAUCGUGGUGCCGCAGGGAAGCCGUUA